AGUGGAAUUGUUAGGUCAUAUAAUAAGUUUAACUUUUAAAGAAACUGCCAGAUUAUUUUUCAAAGUGGCUGUACCAUACUACAUUCUUACCAGAAAU
rnacentral:pre_miRNA from 1 species